GACGAAGGGGGCGAGCGUUGUUCGGAUUUACUGGGCGUAAAGGGCGCGUAGGCGGUCAGCACAAGUCAGUUGUGAAAUCUCCGGGCUUAACUCGGAAAGGUCAACUGAUACUGUGCGACUAGAGUGCAGAAGGGGCAACUGGAAUUCUCGGUGUAGCGGUGAAAUGCGUAGAUAUCGAGAGGAACACCUGCGGCGAAGGCGGGUUGCUGGGCUGACACUGACGCUGAUGCGCGAAAGCCAGGGGAGCGAACGGG
rnacentral:rRNA from 1 species